GGUCAAGCUAAUAAGGGCUGACGGUGGAUACU
rnacentral:rRNA from 1 species